rnacentral:rRNA from 1 species
UACGAAGGGGGCUAGCGUUGCUCGGAAUCACUGGGCGUAAAGCGCACGUAGGCGGACUCUUAAGUCGGUGGUGAAAUCCUGGAGCUCAACUCCAGAACUGCCUUCGAUACUGGGAGUCUCGAGUCCGGGAGAGGUGAGUGGAACUGCGAGUGUAGAGGUGAAAUUCGUAGAUAUUCGCAAGAACACCAGUGGCGAAGGCGGCUCACUGGCCCGGUACUGACGCUGAGGUGCGAAAGCGUGGGUAGCGAACAGG